rnacentral:rRNA from 1 species
UACGUAGGCAGCGAGCGUUGUUCGGAGUUACUGGGCGUAAAGAGUGCGUAGGCGGUUUUCUAAGUUUGGUGUGAAAUCUCCCGGCUUAACUGGGAGGGUGCGCCGAAGACUGGAAGGCUAGAGUAUGGGAGAGGUAAGCGGAAUUCCGGGUGUAGCGGUGGAAUGCGUAGAGAUCCGGAAGAACACCGGAGGCGAAGGCGGCUUGCUGGGCGUGAUCUGACGCUGAGGCGCGAAAGCGUGGGGAGCGAACAGG